GAACGCUGGCGGCGUGCCUAAUACAUGCAAGUCGAGCGAACAGACGAGGAGCUUGCUCCUCUGACGUUAGCGGCGGACGGGGGAGUAACACGUGGAUAACCUACCUAUAAGACUGGGAUAACUUCGGGAAACCGGAGCUAAUACCGGAAAAUAUAUUGAACCGCAUGGUUCAAUAGUGAAAGACGGUUUUGCUGGCACUUAUAGAUGGAUCCGCGCCGCAUUAGCUAGUUGGUAAGGUAACGGCUUACCAAGGCAACGAUGCGUAGCCGACCUGAGAGGGUGAUCGGCCACACUGGAACUGAGACACGGUCCAGACUCCUACGGGAGGCAGCAGUAGGGAAUCUUCCGCAAUGGGCGAAAGCCUGACGGAGCAACGCCGCGUGAGUGAUGAAGGUCUUCGGAUCGUAAAACUCUGUUAUUAGGGAAGAACAAAUGUGUAAGUAACUAUGCACGUCUUGACGGUACCUAAUCAGAAAGCCACGGCUAACUACGUG
rnacentral:rRNA from 1 species